AUUGAACGCUGGCGGCAUGCCUUACACAUGCAAGUCGAACGGUAACGGGCCUUCGGGUGCCGACGAGUGGCGAACGGGUGAGUAAUGCAUCGGAACGUACCUUUCAGUGGGGGAUAACGUAGCGAAAGUUACGCUAAUACCGCAUAUUCUGUGAGCAGGAAAGCAGGGGAUCGCAAGACCUUGUGCUGAUUGAGCGGCCGAUGUCAGAUUAGCUAGUUGGUGAGGUAAAGGCUCACCAAGGCGACGAUCUGUAGCGGGUCUGAGAGGAUGAUCCGCCACACUGGAACUGAGACACGGUCCAGACUCCUACGGGAGGCAGCAGAGGGGAAUUUUGGACAAUGGGGGCAACCCUGAUCCAGCCAUGCCGCGUGAGUGAAGAAGGCCUUCGGGUUGUAAAGCUCUUUCGGCCGGGAAGAAAUCGUAUGGGUUAAUACCCUGUGCGGAUGACGGUACCGGCAUAAGAAGCACCGGCUAACUACGUGCCAGCAGCCGCCGUAA
rnacentral:rRNA from 1 species